rnacentral:rRNA from 1 species
GAUGAACGCUAGCUACAGGCUUAACACAUGCAAGUCGAGGGGAAACGACAUCGAAAGCUUGCUUUUGAUGGGCGUCGACCGGCGCACGGGUGAGUAACGCGUAUCCAACCUGCCCACCACUUGGGAAUAACCUUGCGAAAGUAAGACUAAUACCCAAUGAUAUCCCACGAAGGCAUCCGAAUGGGAUUAAAGAUUUAUCGGUGAUGGAUGGGGAUGCGUCUGAUUAGCUUGUUGGCGGGGUAACGGCCCACCAAGGCAACGAUCAGUAGGGGUUCUGAGAGGAAGGUCCCCCCACAUUGGAACUGAGACACGGUCCAAACUCCUACGGGAGGCAGCAGUGAGGAAUAUUGGUCAAUGGGCGAGAGCCUGAACCAGCCAAGUAGCGUGCAGGAUGACGGCCCUAUGGGUUGUAAACUGCUUUUAUGCGGGGAUAAAGUGUGGGACGUGUCCCAUAUUGUAGGUACCGCAUGAAUAAGGACCGGCUAAUUCCGUG